AAGGGGGUAGCUCAUAUGGUAGAGCACUCGCUUAGCAUGCGAGAGGUACGGGGAUCGAUACCCGCGCCUCCAAUUG
rnacentral:tRNA from 1 species